rnacentral:hammerhead_ribozyme from 1 species
AUCCAGCUGACGAGUCCCAAAUAGGGUGAAAUAUGCGUCAAACUGAAU